CCUACGGGAGGCAGCAGUGAGGAAUAUUGGUUAAUGGACGAGAGUCUGAACCAGCCAAGUAGCGUGAAGGAUGACUGCCCUAUGGGUUGUAAACUUCUUUUAUAUGGGAAUAAAAUGUUCCACGUGUGGGAUUUUGUAUGUACCAUAUGAAUAAGGAUCGGCUAACUCCGUGCCAGCAGCCGCGGUAAUACGGAGGAUCCGACCGUUAUCCGGUUUUAUUGGGUUUAAGGGGGGCUAAGGUGGAUUGUUAGGUCGGUUGGGAAAGUUUGCGGUCCACGCGGAAAAUUGCAGUUGAAACUGGCAGUCUGGAGUACAGUAGAGGUGGGAGGAAUUUGUGGUGUAGCGGUGAAAUGCUUAGAUAUCACGCAGAACUCCGAUUGCGAAGGCAGCUCACUGGACUGCAACUGACACUGAGGCUCGAAAGUGUGGGUAUCAAACAGGAUUAGAUACCCUGGUAGUC
rnacentral:rRNA from 1 species